rnacentral:rRNA from 2 species
GGGGAAUAUUGCGCAAUGGGGGGAACCCUGACGCAGCAACGCCGCGUGAGCGAAGAAGGCCUUCGGGUCGUAAAGCUCUGUCAUGAGGGAAGAAGUCUCUCGUUUAUAGGGAGGUGACGGUACCUCAAGAGGAAGCCCCGGCUAACUACGUGCCAGCAGCCGCGGUAACACGUAGGGGGCGAGCGUUGUCCGGAAUUACUGGGCGUAAAGGGCGUGUAGGCGGCUGAUUAAGUCAGUUGUAAAAGGCUGCGGCUCAACCGCAGGAAUGCAAUUGAAGCUGAUCAGCUUGAGGGCAAGAGAGGGAAGCGGAAUUCCUAGUGUAGCGGUGAAAUGCGUAGAUAUUAGGAGGAACACCAGUGGCGAAGGCGGCUUUCUGGCUUGUCCCUGACGCUGAGGCGCGAAAGCGUGGGGAGCAAACA